rnacentral:rRNA from 1 species
GAAAGCAGGGGAUCGCAAGACCUUGCGCUUUUGGAGUGGCCGAUGCCUGAUUAGCUAGUUGGUGGGGUAAUGGCCUACCAAGGCGACGAUCAGUAGUUGGUCUGAGAGGACGACCAGCCACACUGGGACUGAGACACGGCCCAGACUCCUACGGGAGGCAGCAGUGGGGAAUUUUGGACAAUGGGCGAAAGCCUGAUCCAGCAAUGCCGCGUGAGUGAAGAAGGCCUUCGGGUUGUAAAGCUCUUUCAGUCGAGAAGAAAAGGUCGUGACUAAUAAUCACAACUCAUGACGGUAUCGACAGAAGAAGCACCGGCUAACUACGUGCCAGCAGCCGCGGUAAUACGUAGGGUGCGAGCGUUAAUCGGAAUUACUGGGCGUAAAGGGUGCGCAGGCGGCUUUGUAAGUCAG